rnacentral:rRNA from 1 species
GACGAACGCUGGCGGCGUGCUUAACACAUGCAAGUCGAACGGAAAGGCCCUGCUUUUGUGGGGUGCUCGAGUGGCGAACGGGUGAGUAACACGUGAGUAACCUGCCCUUGACUUUGGGAUAACUUCAGGAAACUGGGGCUAAUACCGGAUAGGAGCUCCUGCUGCAUGGUGGGGGUUGGAAAGUUUCGGCGGUUGGGGAUGGACUCGCGGCUUAUCAGCUUGUUGGUGGGGUAGUGGCUUACCAAGGCUUUGACGGGUAGCCGGCCUGGGAGGGUGACCGGCCACAUUGGGACUGCGAGACGGCCCAGACUCCUACGGGAGGCAGCAGUGGGGAAUAUGGCACAGUGGGCGGAAGCCUGAUGCAGCAACGUUGGGUGCGGGAUGACGGCCUUCGGGUUGUAAACCGCUUUCGCCUGUGACGAAGCGUGAGUGACGGUAAUGGGUAAAGAAGCACCGGCUAACUACGUG